rnacentral:lncRNA from 1 species
CCGUGGCUACCCUGAGAGAACUCCCAUCUCAACUGCUUCUGUCCAGUUUUGUGUGACUGUGAACAAGUUACUGUUUCUCUCUGAGCAGCUUUUUCUUAUUUGCAGAGUAAAUAAUGGCAUCACCUCCACGUGGAUGCUGGAGAAUUAAGUGAAUCGACGCGUACAAGCACUCUUGGCAGUGCCCACACAUAGUACGUGCUCAGCGAAUGUUAGCUGUUUCUCUGCUCAAAAUUCUGCAGAUGUUUGUGCUAUGAAUGAAGAAAGAAAUGGAAGACUUCUAACAGGGAGGCAGUGUCGGUAAUAUUUGGAAGGCUUCUGCAACAAGCU